GUGCUUACCUGGCGGGAGAGAGAGAUGCCAUGCUCAGGAUAGUGGUUUUCCCAGAAUGAAUUUUAUCCACUGCACUCCGAGUGGGCUUGCCCCUACAACUUCACCAAACGUGAAAAACAUGACUCCAUAAUUUGUGGUUGUAGGGGACUAUGUUUGUGCUUUCAAC
ensembl:snRNA U1 U1 spliceosomal RNA